UACGGAAGGCAGCAGUGGGGAAUAUUGCACAAUGGGCGCAAGCCUAAUGCAGCCAUGCCGCGUGUAUGAAAAAGGCCUUCGGGUUGUAAAGUACUUUUCAGUCGUGAGGAAGGUGUUAAGGUUAAUAACCUUAGCAAUUGACGUUAGCGACAGAAGAAGCACCGGCUAACUCCGUGCCAGCAGCCGCGGUAAUACGGAGGGUGCGAGCGUUAAUCGGAAUUACUGGGCGUAAAGGGCACGCAGGCGGUUAAUUAAGUUGGAUGUGAAAUCCCCGGGGCUUAACCUGGGAAUGGCAUUCAAGACUGGUUAGCUAGAGUCUUGUAGAGGGGGGUAGAAUUCCAUGUGUAGCGGUGAAAUGCGUAGAGAUGUGGAGGAAUACCGGUGGCGAAGGCGGCCCCUGGACAAAGACUGACGCUCAUGUGCGAAAGCGUGGGGAGCAAACAGGGAUUAGAUACC
rnacentral:rRNA from 1 species